UUAUCAGUAGUUGAGUGGUAAAGCACUUGACUUCUAAACCAGGAGUCCCGGGUUUGAAUCCUGGUGAAGAAU
rnacentral:tRNA from 1 species